rnacentral:rRNA from 1 species
AUUGAACGCUGGCGGCAGGCCUAACACAUGCAAGUCGAGCGAGCGGCGGAGGGGGGAGUAAUGUCCGGGAAACUGCGGGAUGGAGGGGGAUAAAUACUGGAAAAGGUAGCUAAUACCGCAUACCAUCAGAUGUGCGCAGAUGGGAUUAGCUGGUGGGUGGGGUAAUGGCUCACCUAGGCGACGAGCCCUAGCUGGUCUGAGAGGAUGACCAGCCACACCGGAACUGAGACACGGUCCCGACUCCUACGGGAGGCAGCAGUGGGGAAUAUUGCACAAUGGGCGCAAGCCUGAUGCAGCCAUGCCGCGUGAGUGAAGAAGGCCUUCGGGUUGUAAAGCUCUUUCAGCGACGAGGCGUUACCCGCAGAAGAAGCACCGGCUAACUCCGUGCCAGCAGCCGCGGUAAUAC